rnacentral:rRNA from 1 species
UACAGAGGUCUCAAGCGUUGUUCGGAUUCAUUGGGCGUAAAGGGUGCGUAGGCGGCGCGGUAAGUCGGGUGUGAAAUUUCGAGGCUUAACUUCGAAACUGCAUUCGAUACUGCCGUGCUUGAGGACUGGAGAGGAGACUGGAAUUUACGGUGUAGCGGUGAAAUGCGUAGAUAUCGUAAGGAAGACCAGUGGCGAAGGCGAAUCUCUGGACAGUUAUUGACACUGAGGCACGAAGGCCAGGGGAGCAAACAGG